AGGUCCUUGUGGGUGAUGUUUCCU
rnacentral:siRNA from 1 species